UACAGAGGGUGCAAGCGUUAAUCGGAAUUACUGGGCGUAAAGCGUGCGUAGACGGUUAUUUAAGUCAGGUGUGAAAGCCCCGGGCUCAACCUGGGAAUUGCAUUUGAGACUGAAUAGCUAGGGUGCGGAAGAGGGAAGCGGAAUUUCCGGUGUAGCGGUGAAAUGCGUAGAUAUCGGAAGGAACACCAGUGGCGAAGGCGGGUCUCUGGACAGUUCCUGACGCUGAGGCACGAAGGCCAGGGGAGCAAACGGA
rnacentral:rRNA from 1 species